rnacentral:rRNA from 1 species
AUCAACUUUCGUGGUAGGAUAGAGGCCUACCAUGGUGGUAACGGGUAACGGGGUGUUAGGGCACGACACCGGAGAGGGAGCCUGAGAAACGGCUACCACAUCCAAGGAUGGCAGCAGGCGCGCAAAUUACCCAAUCCCGACACGGGGAGGUAGUGACAAUAAAUAACAAUACGGGGUUCUUUCGGAUCUCGUAAUUGGAAUGAGUACAAUUUAAAUCUCUUAACGAGGAACAAUUGGAGGGCAAGUCUGGUGCCAGCAGCCGCGGUAAUUCCAGCUCCAAUAGCGUAUAUUAAAGUUGUUGCAGUUAAAAAGCUCGUAGUUGAAUUUCGGGAUCAGAUUGUCGGUCGUGCCUCGGUACGCACUGGCAUUAUUGGUUCCUACCUUCUGAAGAACCGCGAUGUCAUUAAUUUGGUGUCGUGGGGAAUCAGGACUGUUACUUUGAAAAAAUUAGAGUGUUUAAAGCAGGCGCACGCUUGAAUACAUUAGCAUGGAAUAAUGAAAUAGGACGUUUGAUUCUAUUUUGUUGGUUUCUAGGAUCGACGUAAUGAUUAAUAGGGAUAGUUGGGGGCAUUAGUAUUCAAUUGUCAGAGGUGAAAUUCUUGGAUUUAUUGAAGACUAACUACUGCGAAAGCAUUUGCCAAGGAUGUUUUCAUUAAUCAAGAACGAAAGUUAGGGGAUCGAAGACGAUCAGAUACCGUCGUAGUCUUAACCAUAAACUAUGCCGACUAGGGAUCGGAUGAUGUUAAUUUUAUAAUGACUCAUUCGGCGCCUUACGGGAAACCAAAGUGUUUGGGUUC